rnacentral:tRNA from 1 species
AUUAGCUCAGUUGGUUAGAGCGUCGGAUUGUGGUUCCGAAGGUCGUGGGUUCGAACCCCACAUU